GGCGGCGUGCCUAACACAUGCAAGUCGUACGAGAAAGUUGGCUUCGGCCGAUGAGUACAGUGGCGCACGGGUGAGUAACGCGUGGAUAAUCUGCCCUUAAGUGUGGAAUAACGUACCGAAAGGUGCGCUAAUACCGCAUAAUGCCUGGCAACAUAAGUUGUCCGGCCAAAGAAGGCCUCUGCUUGCAAGCUUUCGCUAAAGGAUGAGUCCGCGUACCAUUAGCUAGUUGGUGGGGUAACGGCCUACCAAGGCGACGAUGGUUAGCUGGUCUGAGAGGAUGAUCAGCCACACUGGAACUGAGACACGGUCCAGACUCCUACGGGAGGCAGCAGUGAGGAAUAUUGCGCAAUGGGGGCAACCCUGACGCAGCGACGCCGCGUGAGUGAGGAAGGUUUUCGGACCGUAAAGCUCUGUCGAGCGGGAAGAAAUGUAUCAUGGCUAAUAUCCAUGAUACUUGACGGUACCGCUAAAGGAAGCACCGGCUAACUCCGUG
rnacentral:rRNA from 1 species